UACGUAGGGGGCAAGCGUUGUCCGGAAUCAUUGGGCGUAAAGAGCGCGUAGGCGGUCCGGUAAGUCCGCUCUGAAAGUCCGGGGCUCAACCCCGGGAGGCGGGCGGAUACUGUCGGGCUAGAGUCCGGAAGAGGCGAGUGGAAUUCCUGGUGUAGCGGUGAAAUGCGCAGAUAUCAGGAGGAACACCAAUGGCGAAGGCGACUUUCUGGACAGCUACUGACACUGAGGCACGAAAGCGUGGGGAGCAAACAGG
rnacentral:rRNA from 1 species